rnacentral:rRNA from 1 species
ACGAACGUUGGCGGCGUGGAUUAGGCAUGCAAGUCGCGCGAAUCCCCCGCGAGGGGGGGAAGCGGCGGACGGGGCAGGAGUGCGCGGGCGACCUAUCCGGGGGUCGGGCAUAGCCCGUCGAGAGACGGGGUAAUUCCCGAUGACGUCGCAAGACCAAAGGUCCGCCGCCCCCGGCGGGGCCCGCGCGGUAUUAGCUGGUUGGUGGGGGUGACGGCCCACCAGGGCGGAGAUGCCUGGCGGGUGUGAGAGCACGACCCGCGCCACUGGCACUGAGACACUGGCCAGACACCUACGGGUGGCUGCAGUCGAGGAUCUUCGGCAAUGCGCGCAAGCGCGACCGAGCGACGCCGCGUGGGCGACGAAGGCCUUCGGGUUGUAAAGCCCUGUCGGGGGGGAGAAAGCCGCAAGGUUGAUCUAGCCCCGGAGGAGGCACGGGCUAAGUUCGUGCCAGCAGCCGCGGUAAGACGAACCGUGCGAACGUUGUUCGGAAUCACUGGGCUUAAAGGGCGCGUAGGCGGGUCGAAAAAGUCCUGCGGUGAAAUCCCCCCGCUCAACGGGGGAGCGGCCGCGGGGACUGUCGGCCUCGAGGGGGGUAGGGGCGAGCGGAACGCUGGGUGGAGCGGUGAAAUGCGUUGAUAUCCAGCGGAACUCCGGUGGCGAAGGCGGCUCGCUGGACCCCCACUGACGCUGAGGCGCGAAAGCCAGGGGAGCGAACGGGAUUAGAUACCCCGGUAGUCCUGACCCUAAACGAUGGGGACUAGGUAGUCGGCCGGCAUGGGCUGACUGCCGCAGCCAAAGUGCUAAGUCCCCCGCCUGGGAGUAUGGCCGCAAGGCUGAAACUCAAAGAAUUGACGGGGGCUCACACAAGCGGUGGAGCAUGUGGCUUAAUUCGAGGCUACGCGAAGAACCUUAUCCUAGGCUUGACAUGUGCGAAAGCGGGGGGAAGUAGGGUCCGGAAACGGCACCCGAACGGUACCCAGUCCGGAACCCCCCACAGGUGCUGCAUGGCUGUCGUCAGCUCGUGUCGUGAGAUGUCGGGUUAAGUCCCAUAACGAGCGAAACCCUUACCCCCAGUUGCCAGCAAGCGGGACUCUGGGGGGACUGCCGGUGUCAAACCGGAGGAAGGUGGGGAUGACGUCAAGUCCUCAUGGCCUUUAUGCCUAGGGCUGCACACGUGCUACAAUGGCGUGGACAGGGGGACGCGAGCCCGCGAGGGGGAGCCAAUCCCGGAAAGCACGCCCCAGUUCAGAUCGCAGGCUGCAACUCGCCUGCGUGAAGCCGGAAUCGCUAGUAAUCGCGGGUCAGCAACACCGCGGUGAAUGUGUUCCCGAGCCUUGUACACACCGCCCGUCAAGCCACGAAAGGGGGGAGCGCCCGAAGUCGCCUUCACCGGCGCCGAAGGCGAAACCCCUGAUUGGGACU